CAACCCUCUUAAAUUUCAAUAAUCUUCAACCUAACCAUUCAAUUAAGCUCAAAUUUAUAACACACAUUAAAUAAAAAUAUAUUUACAAAUUUAAAAAUUUCUACUUAUUAAUUUAUUACAAAAUUUCCAAAAUUGCUCAAAAUAUCAACUCUAUUUUAUUUCACAAAAUCCAAAAUCAUCAAAAAUAAUCCUAACUUUGUAAAGCUCUUAUAAAAUUAU
rnacentral:lncRNA from 1 species